rfam:Astyanax mexicanus chromosome 14, whole genome shotgun sequence.
UCUUUCGUUUACCUGGUACUCAGUGUAGGGUCUGUGUGCUAUAAAUACAGCUACAUCUGAUUACUGGGUCAGUGAAGGCAUCU